rnacentral:rRNA from 1 species
GAUGAACGCUGGCGGCGUGCCUAAUACAUGCAAGUCGAGCGAACGGACGAGAAGCUUGCUUCUCUGAUGUUAGCGGCGGACAGGUGAGUAACACGUGGAUAACCUACCUAUAAGACUGGGAUAACUUCGGGAAACCGGAGCUAAUACCGGAUGAUAUUUUGAACCGCAUGGUUCAAAAGUGAAAGACGGUCUUGCUGUCACUUAUAGAUGGAUCCGCGCUGCAUUAGCUAGUUGGUAAGGUAACGGCUUACCAAGGCAACGAUGCAUAGCCGACCUGAGAGGGUGAUCGGCCACACUGGAACUGAGACACGGUCCAGACUCCUACGGGAGGCAGCAGUAGGGAAUCUUCCGCAAUGGGCGAAAGCCUGACGGAGCAACGACGCGUGAGUGAUGAAGGUCUUCGGAUCGUAAAACUCUGUUAUUAGGGAAGAACAUAUGUGUAAGUAACUGUGCACAUCUUGACGGUACCUAAUCAGAAAGCCACGGCUAACUACGUG